UCGAGCCACCAGGUCUAGGACUCAAACCAUGCUGUUGGCAAGGUUCGUUGCCUUCACCACACCAGAGACUAGCUCUCAAGACAGAGAAAGGAAGGAGGAGGAACUGCAGUGGGACCGCACCACACUGAGGGAUAUACUUUCUCUUUUUCCCUCUCUCUGAACGUGAUACGCAAGGAUGCAACAAAGACCAGAGUGUAGCAACAGACAAAUCUCAGCAGAGAACAGCGCGGGUCCCCAGACGGUUACGGACAGCACACUGAAUAAAGUUUAUUGUGAUGACAACUAUUUCUAAAAAGCCAUGUUCCCCCCUUGUCCUCAACUCGCCUUCCUUUCAAAGUGCCUUCCUCUAAUCCUCAGGCCGUGCUCCAUUCUACGUAGUGUUUUUAUUUUUAGGUCCAGGCAGGGGACGGCUAUUCUUUAGUUACAGGCAGGCCCCAGAAGUACUGCUGGGCUUCCGAUGCGGGCGGCGAGGAGCAAAGCCCACCUCCUAACG